AAAAUUUAAAAAAAAUCGAAAUUUUUUUUUUUUCAUAAAUCGAUGGAAUAACGUCUUAAGGGGACGUUCUCUUUGUUUUGGAUCAAAAAAUCGAUUUUUUUUUUUUUGCAAAAAUUGAAAGCCACAUAUCCUUAGAAUAUGUGUGUGAAAGAAAUUUUCGAUACGAUGAUGCGUCAGGCGCGCUGUGGUAUGCGCUAAAAACUUUAAACGCGUUUUUCUCGAAACCAUGUUUUUCAAAAAAAUUACGCGUCCACAGCUUCAUCCUGUGAACCGAUUUGCUUCAUGUAAAUUUUUUAUGAAAGUAGAUGCUUUUCUUUAGGGCACUAACCUACUCCGGAAAAAAACAAUAAUUUAUUUAUAAUUUUUCAACGUGGGUUAACUGAAAAAAAAUGUACGAAAAUCGAACUUUAAAAUUCGAACGUUAAUUACGCGGUCAAUUUAUGGCCGCAAUUUGAUGCCACUAGAGGCUGCAGGCUCGUAAUUUUGGGACGAUGUUUGCCGCGCGGAGGCAGACGAAAGCCGCCAUUUUGCAGCCGCCAUUUUGAAUUUCACCAUCAAAUAAAUUUUAAAAAAAUCUUGAAUAAUAAACGAAUUCAAAAAGCAAAACCCGAA